rnacentral:rRNA from 1 species
UACGGGGGGGGCAAGCGUUGUUCGGAAUUACUGGGCGUAAAGGGCUCGUAGGCGGCCAACUAAGUCAGACGUGAAAUCCCCAGGCUUAACCUGGGAACUGCGUCUGAUACUGGAUGGCUUGAAUUCGGGAGAGGGAUGCAGAAUUCCAGGUGUAGCGGUGAAAUGCGUAGAUAUCUGGAGGAACACCGGUGGCGAAGGCGGCAUCCUGGACCAUUACUGACACUGAGAAGCGAAAGCCAGGGGAGCAAACGGG